CCUACGGGUGGCAGCAGUGAGGAAUAUUGGUCAAUGGGCUUACGCCUGACCCAGCCAAGUCGCGUGAGGGAAGACUGCCCUAUGGGUUGUAAACCUCUUUUGUCAGGGAGCACAUGGCGCUACGUGUAGCGUUAUCGAGAGUACCUGACGAAAAAGCAUCGGCUAACUCGGUGCCAGCAGCCGCGGUAGUACGGCGGAUGCGAGCGUUAUCCGGAUUUAUUGGGGUUAAGGGGUGCGUAGGCGGAAUGCCAAGUCAGCGGUAAAAUCGCGGGGCUCAACCCCGUCGUGCCGUUGAAACUGAUGUACUUGAGUGGACGAGAAGUAAGCGGAAUGCGUGGUGUAGCGGUGAAAUGCAUAGAUAUCACGCAGAACUCCGAUUGCGAAGGCAGCAUACCGGCGCCCAACUGACGCUGAAGCACGAAAGCGUGGGUAUCGAACAGGAUUAGAUACCCGGGUAGUC
rnacentral:rRNA from 1 species